rnacentral:sRNA from 1 species
CGAUUUGAUAUGGAGCUCCCCAGAUA